rnacentral:rRNA from 1 species
GACGAACGCUGGCGGCGUGCUUAACACAUGCAAGUCGAACGGAAAGGCCCUGCUUUUGUGGGGUGCUCGAGUGGCGAACGGGUGAGUAACACGUGAGUAACCUGCCCUUGACUUUGGGAUAACUUCAGGAAGCUGGGGCUAAUACCGGAUAGGAGCUCCUGCUGCAUGGGGGGGGUUGGAAAGUUUCGGCGGUUUGGGAUGGACUCGCGGCUUAUCAGCUUGUUGGUGGGGUAGUGGCUUACCAAGGCUUUGACGGGUGGCCGGCCUGGGAGGGUGGCCAGCGACAUUGGGACUGAGAGACGGCGCAGACUCCUACGGGAGGCAGCAGUGGGGAAUAUUACACAAUGGGCGGAAGCCUGAUGCAGCAGCGCCGCGUGCGGGAUGACGGCCUUCGGGUUGUAAACCGCUUUCGCCUGUGACGAAGCGUGAGUGACGGUAAUGGGUAAAGAAGCACCGGCUAACUACGUG